GUGAACGUUACCAAACUGUUGCCUCGGCGGGAUCUCUGCCCCGGGUGCGUCGCAGCCCCGGACCAAGGCGCCCGCCGGAGGACCAACCAAAACUCUUAUUGUAUACCCCCUCGCGGGUUUUUUACUAUCUGAGCCAUCUCGGCGCCCCUCGUGGGCGUUUCGAAAAUGAAUCAAAACUUUCAACAACGGAUCUCUUGGUUCUGGCAUCGAUGAAGAACGCAGCGAAAUGCGAUAAGUAAUGUGAAUUGCAGAAUUCAGUGAAUCAUCGAAUCUUUGAACGCACAUUGCGCCCGCCAGUAUUCUGGCGGGCAUGCCUGUCCGAGCGUCAUUUCAACCCUCGAACCCCUCCGGGGGGUCGGCGUUGGGGAUCGGCCCUUUACGGGGCCGGCCCCGAAAUACAGUGGCGGUCUCGCCGCAGCCUCUCCUGCGCAGUAGUUUGCACACUCGCAUCGGGAGCGCGGCGCGUCCACAGCCGUUAAACACCCCAAACUUCUGAAAUGUUGACCUCGGAUCAGGUAGGAAUACCCGCUGAACUUAAGCAUAUCAAUAAGCGGAG
rnacentral:rRNA from 1 species